UCACAAUCACUUUAGAAAACAGUUUUGAAGCCCUAUUUUACAGAUGAGAAAACUUAAGGCUCAGCAACUUGAAAGUGUAUUUGCCCAUAGCUAAAUACAACAGUUCUCUACCUACUAGCUCAGGAUGCUUCAAUCCAUUUCAAAAGUUGACCUCAAAGUCUUCAACCAAAGCUGAGGUGCUCUCUGCAGGUGGAGCAGACACUGUUAUGGGAGGGAUCAUUCUCACAUAAA
rnacentral:lncRNA from 1 species